UUUUCUUUUUCAUUCUUUAGAAAAGAAAACACACAGCACCAAACGAUCCCUUAAGCUCCCUCACACUCUCAAAGAGCUCAUCUCUGACCAAAUUAGGCAAAGGUUCAACGCAUUUCUUUUCUCUCAGUCCUUGCCUCACCAUUUCGGGCAAGGUCAUUAAUGAAGCUUUGUCAUCUUCUCACAUUGACAGCCAACUCAAACGACAAUAAUAACUCCUUUUCAUUUUUGUUUUUUGAUUUUUUCUUUACAUCUGACGGAUGAUUUGGAUUUCAAGUAAUUAUCAAUGAAUUUCAACUUUAAUAGCUGUCCCACAUCGAUUUUGGACCGAAGAAACCCUAGAAUUGGCCUCUUAUAAAGAGAGAACCAUUUCUUCAUUCUUAAAAAUGGGUUUUUGACACCUACAAUUGGUUUUUCACAACCACAAUGGGUUUUUACACGAGUUUGAACACUCAGAAACUCGGCUCAUCCUUGAGUUUCAAGGAAGUUCUCGAUCACAGUUAAAUUUUUGGGUCUCGUUUCCGUUCGUCGAAAGCUAGUUUAGGUGAAAGGUUGUUUGUCGGCUCUCGUCGCUCCCGUCGUUGCUCGACAAAAAGGAAACUUCCCUUUUCUUUAUUUAUUUCUACAUCUUUACAGUUUUCUUUAGUCCUGUUGAUUUGUAUUCCGUUGGGUUCGAUUUAGUUCUUGUUAGGUAUUCAGUUUGUCUCUAGUUUUGGUAUGUGAAGUAUAAAGUAAUGUUCCCUUUUACUUACUCGUUUUUUUUCUUUUAGAGAAAUAUGGAUUUUGUGUGUAGUUGUUUCUUUCUUUAAUUCUCCACCAAGAUAAGGCAUAAGUGACUGAUCCUUGCUUUUCUUUAGAAUAAGGAUUGUCUGAUUGGCUCAUUCUAUUCAUGUUUAGUUUGAUUCCUUGUCUUCUAUAAUGUAUUUGUUGAUUUUAUGCUAAGUAGGUAAUCAAUGCGUUUGAGAUGUUAUCCUUGAGCUCGAAAUCCGAUAAAUCAAUAUGUGCCGAGACCAUAUGUUAAUAUCCUUGGUGACAAUUGUCAGUAUAAGUAGGUAAAAGGACUAAUAAAAUCUAGUUUUGCCUCUGUUAUGAUACACAAAAAUGUGAUUGGAUGAUGUUUGUUAGUUUGUUCAGUGGUUAUGCAAUUCCAUUCUGGUUUUCACUGAUUUGAAUUAGUUUUUAAGUGGAGCUAGUUUAGAUAUGAGAUCUAUUCUAGUUGGGAUUUUUGCGGAGUAGCUUACAGGAAUGUGAUCUUAUGGGUUGUUUUAUUAUUGUUGUGGUAGUCUCUUUCACGUGCAACUAGAUUCAAGUUCCCAUAUAAGUUAAGCUUUGCUUGAAAUUAGUGCCAAUAUCAUUAGCUUGGUAUUACCAUCCGAAGUUUGAUAUUUGUUGAUCUAGAGCUAUUUUCUUGUUUAAGAUUUGUUGUGGGCCUUUGAAGAGAAACUGAUAAUAAUUUCUCUAAACUUUAAUUCAGUUAUACACUUUUUCUAAAGGUCAAACUUGUUAGAUCAACCUUACCUUUUAUUUUUAUUUUUUAAUAUUCAGUAGUGAAUUCAUUUAAUAAGAGGUUAACCUUUAUUUCGUUUGGUUAUUGUUUUUGUUGGAAAUUGUUGAUUGGAUACUCAUUCUUCACCCUUCUUUUCUUUGGAUGACUCGGGGAGUUGCAAAUCCCAACUGCUCUCAAGGUAUAUUUGUGAGUUGCUACUAGUUUGACAUUUUGCUUUUGCUGCUACUUGCUGCUGUGCUGCACUUUAACGCAAACAGUUCCUGCAUUUUGAGGUAAGUAAUGACUGUUACACCUUCGAAGGAUAAAUGAGUUGCUGCAUUUUGGGUAAGUAGUUGCUGCCUUUGCUUGGAAAAAUGGAUGAUACUUUGAUAACAACAGCUACUUCAUUGUGAAGUUCAGAAAAUGUUAGUGAGUGUUACUUUUUAGUUGCUACAUUGGUUGAGAAAUGGUUGCUGCACUUCUUGAUAAAUUGUUGUUGUAUUGGAGACGUUGCCUCAUUCUCAAGUUGUUGCCACACUUAAGAUACUACACUUGUUCACAAAAUAGUUGUUGCAUUAUGCCACGUUCUGCUAAUAUUGUUGAUGCCUCACUUGUGGAUGAAUCAGUGUUAUGGUAAAAUUUGCUGAGUCUGUCAAAAACAACAGACUACUACUGCACUUUGCUAUAAAUAAUUGGCUUGUUUUAAGGCAACUGCUGCUACAAAUAGCUACUACCUUGAGGAGAUGGUUGUUGCAUUUUUUUAGCUGAGUUACGGCUACAUUUCGAUACUUAUUGUUGGCUGAAACCUCUGCUAUACGUUGAUAAGAAUUGCUGCUAUGUUUAAACAUAUGGUACUGCCUUCAUUUUGAAGUUGGCUGCUAUAUUUUGAUGCUUCAUUUUUGGGAAAUGUUUAUUAUCCAAACAGAGGCUAUUUUAGAAAGAAACAGAUGCUGCCUCUAUUUGGUAUUUACUGAUUCAAACAGGAUACUACACUUGAGCCGAUGAGAACAUUUAAUUUUAGGCCAUGCCUUGUCCAGAAAGGUUAUCCCUCUGUUUAGGCGACGAUGCCCUCAUAAUAAUAUCAAGAGAUAGGAACCAACAUGCAUUUGGCGAGGAAACUAGAAUCGCCACUAGUUUGCAGCCAACACAUGUAUUGGGUUUCUUUGCCACAUUCGGAAACAUUAGUCUGAGCCUCCGUAAUCAAAGCUCUCAAAGUUUGAUACGAGUCCAAGAGAUAUUAUUUUUAUGUUCAUAAACGUCACCCUAUGGGGUGGCGUACCAUUUUGACUAACUACUUUUCUUUUCAUUGUGCGAGGUACAAAUAAAACAAGUAUGGAGAGCAAAGCUCAAAGAUGAAGUAAAAGGAUUAGCUGCUUAGAGCUUCGUACGAAGAACUAGAAGAGCAUGGAUUGCUAACGAUUUGGGCCCAAGGCCGAAAAAGAUAAAUCGUCUUCCCCUUUCCUUUAUUCUUGUAUAACCAAGCUAAUUUAAUAUGUUCGGAAAAGGGCCAAAAUUACUCGUGAACUUUGAAAAAUAGUUCAUCCAUACCCUUCGUUAUACUUUAGGGCCAAUUAUACCCUUACAGUUAUACUAUGGGGUCAAUUAUACCCUUAUGUCUAACUGCUGCCACGUGGCAUCAUCCCAGCCCUUCAAAAUUAUUUUACCUUCAAAUAAUUUUUUACCCACUAAAAUAACUCAACCCGACCCGAAUUUUUUUUUCCAGCAAAAAUAAUACGGAUAAUUUUUCUAGCAAAAUAAAAUAAAAAUAAUUCCGUAUUAUUUUUGCUGGAAAAAAAUUUCGGGUCGGGUUAAAUUAUUUUAGUGGGUAAAAAAUUAUUUGAAGGUAAAAUAAUUUUGAAGGGCUGGGAUGAUGCCACGUGGCAGCAGUUAGACAUAAGGGUAUAAUUGACCCCAUAGUAUAGCUGUAAGGGUAUAAUUGACCCUAAAGUAUAACGAAGGGUAUGAAUGAACUAUUUUUCAAAGUUCAGGGGUAAUUUUGGCCUUUUUCCGUAAUAUGUUUACAUUCGUUUUGUAUGAGCAUGUAUACUUGCAAAUACUUGUGUAUUAUUGAAACCCCUUAGAACAUAGUUGAAACCUUGCAUAAGAAAAAUGAUUCAAGUUGUUUUCAAAAACCGUUUUGGGCCUUGGCCUGCACAAAGAUAAUAAAACAAAAGAAAUCCCACUUAAACUCAAUGUAACGACCCAUUUGGUCGUUAUAGUCUUUUUGGCACUUUUGACCUUUUUCCGAGCUUGUUUAGCUCACAUUUGACUCGAGGGGACCGUUGACAUGCUUCUCGAGGUGUUUGGAUUUGAUUUGGGUAAUGUUUUUGGGAAAAUUGGGCUUUAAGAGAAAAAAAGUUGACUAAAAGUUGACUUUUGGGUAAACGGACCUUUUUUCGAAAAUAUGUCGAUUUCGAGAGGUCCGGAUGAUCUUUUAGAACCUAUUUGCAUAUUUGGUUCGGUUCCCAAUGCACUCGGGUGCAUUUCAGGACUCGGGUUGGGAAGUUGAAGUUGAGGUAUCAGGGGUUGACUCGGUCAACGAGACCUCCGUUGGGAAUUCCGAGGACAAAGUGCGUUUGUAGCGUGUUUUUAUAUAUGUCUGCAUAUUUGGUAUGUGAGCAGAUGGCCUUGUGAGAUAGUUAAAAAUUCGGGUUGAGUUGUGAAAAUCUUGGGAAUUCUUGUGUCUGGUGCCCGGUUUGGCGGUACUGCUAUAGUGGUCACCUUGCCGCUGAAGCGGCCAAUGUGAUUUUGGGCAUGACCGCUGUAGUGGUCAUGGGACCGCCAAAGCGGUGACGUUGAAGUGGUCUGAUGGUCGCGGAAGCAGGCGUCGGGAAGUUAAUUUCAUUAAAUGAAGUGUUAAAAGCCCUAAGUCCCUCAUUUAUUACUAUUCCGAAAUCUGAGUUAUUGGGAGCAUUUCAAGGUGAUUCUUUGGGGGGAAUCUUGGUGGUAAGUCCUUCUAUCUUUUUUCCUAUUCCAAGAUUUCAUUAUCAUCUUAGGAUUCCUUUAUCAUGCUAGUUCACUAGAGUUGAAGAAUUAAUAGAAGGUUCAAUGAGUUCUUCUUCUAGGCUUUGUAAUCUUGAUUUAUUGGUUGGGUUAGCUUAUUUAAGCAUGGAAUUGAUGAUUAGAAUCUUGUAUUUCAUAAUUUCUUCCUAAUUAGUGGCUAAUUUAUGGGAUUGGAAGUUAGGGUUUAUACCCAAAUUUGGGGGGUUUUGCCUAAAAUAUGAAUUUAGGGUUUAGGGUCUUGAAUAGAAGUAAGGUUUGAUAAAUGUUCUUCUUGAUUCUAAUUUCUUGAUUUGAAUAUGCUUAGAAUUUCUUUAUCUUGAGGCUCAAAGGAAAGGGAAGACUAAGGUGUGAUUGUCGAGACCUUGUUGUUCGUUCUUCCAGGUAGGUUACAGUUUACCCUAUUGUGAGACUUCGUUUAGCGAAGCAUAUAUUUAGACGAUAUUAUCGGAGAAAGCCUCUAAACCUUUGAGUAUGAAAUUGGGUUGCAUAUUCUCUUACGUUGGGCCCUAUUGUGUGAUUUUGGGCUUAGCCACCCCGUUUUAUUGUGACUUAUCUUGUUCUAUUGUUGUUGGGUCGAUGCCACGUGGAGAUAGUAAAUAUUGGUGACUUGUCACACCCUAUCUUGAUAGGGCAUGAUGGGCACCCGACCCCAUACUCAGAGCUGAGCGAACCCCUUUAGCUCUCGUUAUGUUCAUAACCUCACUGGACUCUUAAGUUACGAAAUGAAAUGCAUAAUAAAAACUUGACAAAAACCAUUCUUUUUGUCGUUCUCAAAUCAAGUAAAAUCUGUAUCAUAUGGAAUUUGUAACAUAAUGCAUAAUGAUACGUCGGCUUGCAGAGCCGCUUACAAAACUGACAUCCUAUACCCAUGACUCUGUCUGCAAAGUCUCUAACAUCAAUCAAGAUAUCAAAACCUGAAUACUCUGACUCGGCAACACUCUAGAAGGAAAUGGAGCUCGCCAAUCCAGCUGGUACAUCUCCUAUCAAUGUCCUCUACUCAUCUGUAUGCACCUGCGUGGCAUGAAACGCAGCCCCCGAAAAAAGGGGGUCAGUACGGAAUAUGUACUGAGCAUGUAAAGCAUGAAAUACAGUAAACAGAGCCAUAAUCGGAACAAGAAACACAAAAAGUAAGUAUACUAUCCAGAAUACCAAAAUGCUUACUUUUAAAACACAAAUCGUGCAUGUCGAUGGGAUAUGUCCUAUCCGGCCCAUUAUGGGACUCGGUGGACAAAACAUGGUCGCCACCCCGUCAUUGGCGCCAUAACAUAUCAUACUCCAGAGUAGGGAAUAACUCCGUAACACAUCAUACUCCAAAACACAUCAUACUCCAGAGUGUAUAUACAUAUAACGUAUCCCGACCCUCUUGUGAGGGACUCGGUGAACAAUGCAGUAGAGUGUGCACGAGAACGUAUCCUGGCUCGGGACUCAGUGAAAGAUACAUUGAGGCAUGCACGAGCAGAGUAGUGAGAAACCAUAUGCAUACAAAUCAAUUUUAAGACUCGAUAAGUAAGAACACUAAUCGACACUUGAAGGAUCAUAAGCACAUUUCGAGUCAAUCCGAGUUAGCAUAUGAAAGUUAUGGACAUUAAUCAUUACAAAAACCUUUAUGAACGUUUCAAAACAAUCCGAGACCGUCUAUGAAAGUUAGAAACAUUAAUCCUUAUAGAACUCUUUUAGGAACAGGAACUAUCUAUGCUUUACUCGUUAUUCCAUCAUACAAUAACUUGACCACAUUAAGCAUGCUUAUGUCAAGAAGUGAAUAAGAAUCAUAAACAAGCUCGGAAUUUAGGAAUAGAGUCACCCCAAGGUGCAUAUCAUACCUUAUUUAGCUCUAGGACAUGCCAAAAGAAAGAAAGAGUAAGCCUUACAUACCUGUUCCACCUCCUAUUAGCUACGCUUAUUUGUCCAAGCUCGCUAGUCUACAUUCAAGAGGAUUUACACAAUCAUUAGACUCAUCGUUAUACGCUUGUCUUAGUCCUUCAAAUAAAUUCAUUUAUAAUCUGCCGAAAUUUCGGCAGCAUUUCCCCUGUUUAUAUGCCUAGCCCAAAAUUACAAUUCAGCAACUAACAACAUCAACAAAAAUACCAAUAGUAAUAACAUCAUUUCCAACACAACAUAUGCCAUAAAGCAGCCCACACACCAUUUUUCCCAUUUUCUCAACCAACCAAUUUGCGAUACGACUAAUUAAUAACUUUAUUUCCGUAAAGAAGCCGAAAUUAAUACCAGCAACAUCGAUAACAACAUCUUCAACAUCCUACAAAAUAAAUACAUAUAUUUUUAUCCAAAUUUCUCUUCAAGCCUAAAUCCAUAAUUCGACAACACCAACAACCGAAUUUAUCACACUAUUCUCUCCUUUCUAAUCCGUUAAAACUCUGAAUAAACUUGUUAACAAUGAAAAGGAACCUUAAUCUUACUUCAAGUGUACAGCCACCACGUCCACCCUCUUCUUCUUAGUUGAUUUUUGGCUCAAAUUGAAGGCAACGCCACGUACGACACUUUUCUCUUCAUGGGCUUCGGAAUUCGGGGCUCAGAUUUUGGUCAAAAUUGAUUUUUCUCUCUAGGCUCUCCUCUCUCUUUUUCUCCAGAAUUUUCUGGUGUUUUGGUAUGAAAAAUGAGGAGAUAAAGCUGAUAUUUCACUUAAAAAGGUGUGGGUAAUGGGCAUGAUCCGAUUGGGCUCGGGUUGGGCCUGGCCCACUAACCUUUCUGCCUUAAAAAUUCCAAACUUAUCAUACCAUUUUGGCCCUUCGAAGUCAGAUCACCCGAAAACGUUUUCUUAAAUCGUCCUUUUGGAGGGCUUACACUCAUUUUCGGCUUAUGGGUCCUUCUUAAGACUUGCUCAACUUCACAUGUACUACCAUAUAUCCCUUCAUAUGUCCUUUAUAAAAUCCCGAUGUCACACCCUAAUCUUACUAGGGUGUGAUGGGCACUCGAUCUCAUAUUCGGAGCCGAUCGAACCCACUGACUCUUACUACACACAUAAUCGCUUUGGACUUUUAACUCAAAUAAAAUGAAAUACAUAAUAAGAGCUUUCAGGAACAUUCCUUUCGUCGUUCUCAAAUCAAGCAAAAUUUGUAAUCAUAUGGAAUUUAUAACAUAUCGCAAAAUGACACAUUGACUGAUGGAGCCGCUUACAAUACUGACAUUCUAUUCCCACGACUCUGUCUGCAAAGUCUCUAACAUUAACCAGAAAUCAUAACAUAUAUACUCUGACUCGGUAACACUCCGGAAGGAAGUGGAGCUCGCCAAUCCCGCUGAAACACCUUCUAGCAAAGCCUUCUACUCAUCUGGGUGUACCUGCGUGGCAUGAAAUGCAGCCCCCGAAGAAAGGGGGUCAGUACGGAAUAUGUACUGAGUAUGUAAGACAUGGAAUACAGAAGACAGAACCAUAAUCGAAACAAACAUUUCAAAAGUAAGUACAUUAUCCAGAAUGCUUAAAAUGCUUAUUUUCAAAACACAAAUCAUGUAUGCCGAUGUCAUAUGUCAGAAUUAGUACAGAAAAUAAGCAAAUCAUCCAGAAUACCAAAAUGUUUAUUUUCAAGACACAAAUCAUGCAUGCCAUAUGCGGCCCAUUGUAGGACUCGGAGAACAGAACAUGGUCGCCACCCCAUCACUGGCGCCAUAACACAUCAUACUUCGGAAUAGGGGAUAUUUCCGUCACACAUCAUACUCCAGAACACAUCAUACUUCAGAAUGCAUAUACCACAUCAUACUUCAAACGUAUAUGCAUAUAACAGAUCCCGACCCUCUAACUAGGGACGCGGUGAACAAUGCAGUGAAGAGCGCACGAUAACAUACCCGGCUCGGGACUCGGUGAAAGACAUAUUGAGGCAUGCACGAGCAGAGUAGUGAGAAACUAUAUGCAUAUAAAACAAAUUUUAAGACUCGAUGGGUACGUACAUAAAUCGACACUUGAGGGUCAUAAACACGUUUCAAGUCAAUCCGAGUUAGUGUGAAAAAGUUAUGGACGUUUUAGUACAGAACCUUCUACGAACGUUUCAGAAGCUAUUUUUUGGAAAAUCAAAGCAAUAAUCAUAUCAAGUACCUUUCGAAUAUCGCUAUGGAUCAAAUCAAAAUAGAACUUUUGGAACCAUAUGUACGUGUCAAAAUAUAUCAAAGACUCAAUGGAAUAAUCAAACGUGCUAUCAUUUGAAAAUCAAGACAUUAGUCAUAUCAAUUGUCUCUUGAAUGCCAUGCGGAAACAUAUCAAAUAGAACUUCGGACAUCAUAGAUACGCAUCAAAACCAUAUAAAAUAGCUUAUGGAAAUCAAGAACGUUAGCCAUCCUAGUGGCUCUAAGAAUAGGAGUUUCUUUGGAAUCAUAUACAUAUCGUCUGUUCGUUUCACAAGGAUCAUGCCAAAAGAAAAAAAGGGUAAGCCUUACAUACCUGUCCCACGUCCUAUUAGCUACGCUUAAUUGUCCAAGCUCGCUAUCGCUAGUCUACAUUCAAGAGAAUUUAUACAAUCAUUAGACUCAUCAUCACAUACUUAUCUUAGUCUUUCAAACAAAUUCAUUUAUAAUCUGCCGAAAUUUCGGCAGCAUCUCCCCUGUAAAUACAACCAUCCCCGAGAAUCUAACUCGGCCAAUUUAUCAACAACAAUCCGAGAAUUCAACUCGGCCAAAUUAUCAACAACAUCAUAUUUCCAACUCCAACAAUCAAUUCAAAGUGCAUUCUAACACUAGCAAUCCUUCCUACACAAUUCGGCGGCAUUUCAUUUAUAUUCAAUUUGAUCACAUAUAGUCAAGCUAACACCAAUGAUCUCACAUUCAAGUGUUAAUCCAAAAUCAUUCUAACAUGAUUCAAGAACACUUCAAACAAUUCACACAAUAUUCAAAAUAAUCUAACCAAUAUGCCAUUCCAUCCGAAACCUCCAAAGUGCAACAAUAACAAUAACAACACAUUUCCUUCCUUCAAUUCAUGAACUAUACCAUAAUUCACACACUAGCAACAUUAUUCUCAUAAUUACAAGAAACCAUAUUAGAAUCACAUUAAUUCCUCCAAUAAUUUCUCAACGAUUACAACUUCAUUUCAAUUCAUCCACAACUACAACAAUCAAAAUACUAAAUAAAAAUCAAUUCAUCACAUCCUAUCAUCAUCAAUCUUAUUCAGCCAUACCACACACAUACAUAUUUUUAUGAAUUUCAUCCAUUUCUACAUACUACGACAUUCACAAAUCAUCCAUAACACAUGUAAAAGAAGAUUGAACACAUACCUUUCUCCACACAUCUUCUUCCUCGGCUAGAGUCCACAACUCGCACAAUGAAUACUUUGCUUACUCCAACAAUUACUCCAUGUUAAAGAGGACCUUCCAAUUAGUUGGAAUACUAGAAGAAAAUAAUUUUUCUUGAUCAACUCCAUGGAACCAAUUUUUGAUAGCCAUGGCCGAACAUGGCUCCUUCUCUUUCUUUUUCUUCUUCUCCAAACUUCUUGAAUUUUCUAAGUGUAAUGGUAAUGAUAAAUAUGACUAAUAAGUCAUAUAUAUAUAUAUAUAUACACACACACACAUAAUUCAUCCAUGUGGGCCAAGGCCUCAACUUGGACGGCCACAUGGCCACUCAAGAACUUUCUUGAGUUUUUGUGAAAUUCCCAUUUUGCCCCUAGCCUUUCACAAUAUUACCAUGAACCACUUUGUGAAUUUUCCUUUUUACCCUUAGCCUUUCUCGAUAUUUCCAUACUAAUAAACAACUUGUGCAUUAAAAUAAUUUUGAAAAAUAGUCUUGCCCUUAACUUACCACGACUUCCUUAAAAUAUUCGAAUAUACGAAAUACGGGACAUAACACCCGACAUGUGGGCCCCACCUUGUGUUAACUGAUUUACUCCAUACGAUCUCCAAAUGUCAUAUGUAUAUUCUUAUACUCAGAUAAUAUAAUCUUCAUCCCUAAUCCUUGUAUAACUUUGCUCUCCCUUGAGCUCAUACUAAGCCGUCGACAGUCUUGGUAACGCAAAAUUUUCCGGGGUGUAACAUGAUUAUUGAUAUAUCUUAAUUUUGAUAUUGUAGCAUCUUACUUAUUGUCGUUUGAGACGAGGAUAGUGAUUCUAUUAUGGCUUAUUGUGUAGCCUUUUAUUGAUACUGUUGGUGUGCCUAUGUGGUACUUUUUAUAUUGAUUUGAUUAUUGACAUUGAACUCAUACAUUGCACGCAUUCUCAUCCUUCAUGAUAUAUUGUUGAUACAUUAAUGAUGUUUAUGGAAACACUGUUAUGAGCUGGGCUCAGUUGGAUGAGAGUAAUGUGAGGGUCGAUCCGAUAUUUAUCCUGAAAUCGAGGAUGAGUGCUGGUAGCGAUUGCCGAGGUUGUUGUCGGAAUCGUGAGAGUACAUGGACUUCGCGGGUCCUCUAUGGGUUGUGUUGCCGAGAUGUGAUAUUCCAUCUUCGGAGUACAUGUGUACAGUGCAUAUGCAUUGCAUUCACACUUCAUACAUCAUUCCAUUUCAUUGUACUAUGGCUUAUAUUGUGAUAUUCUUGUGAUGUACUUGUGAUAUACGGAUUCAGAUUGAGUAUAUUGAGACUUGGGACAUUUGGGUUUAGAUGUUACAACAUAGGUGAUGACGUGUACUUGGUUACUAGCUCAUGAUUGACUUAUACCUUGUUGAUUUACCUGUUUAUCUUACUUUAUUGCCUUGAUAUAUGUUAGCUAUUCUUAGUCGGCCUAUGAUACAUACCAGUAUUCAUUUUUUGUACUGACCUGCACUUGCUGCGUUCUUUUAUGAAUGCAGAGUUCCAGGUCGGUUCAGCCUCUACUCCUCGUGGCUGAUAGUAGUUCGAGGGUUGCAGUUUAGAGACUUACAAGGUAGACAGGGAGACGCUGCAGAUCCAUAGGAGCCAUCUACAGAUUUACAGGAGCACUCCACUAUUCCGGAGGUAGACAGGGAGAGCUGCAGAUCCGUAGGACCCAUCUACAGAUUUACAAGAGCACUCCACUAUUUCGGAGGUGCUAUUCGGUUGAUCCUUUUGUGUAUAUUGGUAUAUGCCAUCCUAUAAAGUCUCGUAGAUACUCGAUGUGGGCUAUGUGGUUCCAUGAUGUGGAUAAUAUGUAUGUGUAUGAGUAUAUUGAAAUAUGUUCUUCUGUUAGAGCAUUAUAUUUUGUAAUGAAGACCAGAUUUUUUUUAGGUUAA